rnacentral:rRNA from 1 species
GAUGAACGCUGGCGGCGUGCCUAAUACAUGCAAGUAGAACGCUGAAGGACGGAGCUUGCUCUUUCCGGAUGAGUUGCGAACGGGUGAGUAACGCGUAGGUAACCUGCCUGGUAGCGGGGGAUAACUAUUGGAAACGAUCGCUAAUACCGCAUAACAGUAGAUUUUGCAUGAUAUCUACUUAAAAUUUGCAAUUGCACCACUACCAGAUGGACCUUCGUUGUAUUAGCUAGUUGGUGAGGUAACGGCUCACCAAGGCGACGAUACAUAGCCGACAUGAGAGGGUGAGCGGCCACACUGGGAGGGUGACACGGCACAGACGCCUACGGGAAGCAGCAGUAGGGAAUCGUCGGCAAUGGACGGAAGUCUGACCGAGAAACGCCGCGGGAGGGAAGAAGGAUGUCGGGUCGGAAAGCUCGGUUUUAAGGGAAGAACGAGUGUGAGAGUGGAAAGUUCACACUGUGACGGUAACUUACCAGAAAGGAACGGCUAACUACGUG